UAUUCCUUGACUUAUCUUUCUAGCUAUUGUAAGAAAGUUACUUCAGAAGAAGAAUCAAUUAUUAUCAGAUUAAUUAAGAAAACAAGAACAACAAUUGUGUCAAUCUCAGAGCGUCAACACCGCUAUUAACUUGAAGUUGGUGAUGAAAAAAAUAUGCAUACCUCUUCUUCAAACGUUAAUAUAAAGCUUCCUGCCACCAGAUAUGUUGAAAUUGGCGACUCGCAAGGAACUAUUGGUAAGUUUUAUUUUUUCUUCUCUAAAUUUUAAGGUUUCUCCUCCCACUUUGUGUUUAGUUUCUUAACUUAAAUCAUAAUUAUUCUAUGAGAGUAAUAAGAAGAUUAUAAGUGAAUAGAUGAUUGUUUGUAGCAAUGGAAGACAUUAACAAACAUAUUGAGGAGGACUCGCUUCUUGCAUUUGAGACGCUUCUUACUGGAGUGCAAAGUUAUUCCAUUAGAACUUUACUUCAAGAAUUGAAGACUUAUGGACUCAUCAUCAGACCUUGACCAUCUUGUAUCUAAUUACGAGUCAAAAAUUGAAGUCGAUUUCUCUUUUUCAUGGAUUGAAUCAACAUCGAGGACUAUUACCUUCUGAUGUGAAGGAGUUUGUUGAGAUAGUGCAGAAUUUCUUCAAUAACAACAUUAUCAGACAAGACAGUUAUCAACAAGUACUAAGGAAGCACAACCAACUUCUUUAUUCGAAAACUGAUAUUAUGAACAAGCUUAGGAGUGCAAAGAGUACACUAACCCAAAUUGACAGUGAAUCUUCAACUACAAAUGCUCAGAUACACAAACUCUCUUUACAAAUUGAUGAUCUUGUGAAACAAAGAGAUGAUUUGAAAUCAGUAGUGAACAAAUGUGAUGUUCAGAAGGAGAGGUUGAUGGCUAAAUGCACUGAAUGGGCACAACAAAGUAAAGAGUUACUUUCUGAUUGUGCUUCCUUAGUACUUGUUGAGAAGUGUCCUGUUUGAUAAUGUUGUCAUUGAAGAAGUUCUGCACUAUCUCAACAAACUCCUUCACAUCAGAAGGUAUGAGUCCUCGAUGCUGAUUCAGUCCAUGAAAAAGAGAAAUCGACUUCAAUUUGGACUCGUGGUUAGAUAUAAGAUGGUCAAGGUCUGAUGAUGAGUCCAUCAAAGUCUUCAAUUCUUGAAGUAAAGUUCUAAUGAAAUAACUUUGCACUCCAGUAAGAAGCGUCUCAAAUGCAAGAAGUGGGUCCUUCUCAAUCUGUUUGUUAAUAUCUUCCAUUACUACAAACAAUCAUUUAUUCACUUAUAAUCUUCUUAUUACUGUCAUGGAAGAAUUAUAAUUUAAGUUAAGAAACUAAACGCAAAGUGGGAGGAGAAACCUUAAAAUUUAGAGAAGAAAAAUAAAACUCACAAAUAGUUUUCUCGGUGCGAGAAACCUUAAACGCAAAGUGGGAGGAGAAACCUUAAAAUUCAACUGCGGGCGACAACAACACAUGUCAAUAACUGCUGUUCUAGUUGCGGAAAGUAUCUCUAUUAGAGAAGUGUUAUGUUUCUGGACAUUAUUCCAGAUGAGAAUUACCCUGCUGAAUUCUCUUAUAGAUCAAGAUGGGUUGAAUGCAAUAAAUGCGAAAGAUGGCAGCAUCAAAUUUGUGCACUCUACAACAAGAAAGCAGAUUUAGACUGCAGUGCUGAGUAUAUAUAUGUCCUGUAUGCCACCAAAAAGAAAUUGGAAAGGGAAUGCAUGUUCCCUUACCAAAGGCGGCUAAUUCUGGUGCUAAGGACUUUCCAAGAACUGUGCUAACUGACCACUUAGAGAAAAGACUUUUCGAGCGUCUCAACAAGAGAGAGAAAACUGGGAAAAAGUUGAAGGGAAUGAGAAUCUUGAUGAGGUUUUAGCAGCAGAAAGUCUUUCAAUUAGAGAAGUGCCAUCUAUCGACAAGCAAUUGAAAGUGAAUAAGCAGUUUCUGGACAUCAUCCCAUAAGAGAAUUACCCUGCUGAAUUCUCUUAUAGAUCAAGAGUUAUUCUUCUGUUUCAGCAGAUUGAAGGAGCAGAUGUAUGCAUUUUUGGAAUGUAUGUCCAGGAAUUUGGCUCUGAAUGCGGCAAUCCCAAUCAACGUUGUCUAUGCAUAUCAUAUCUUGAUUCUGUCAAGUAUUUUAGGCCUGAAAGAAGGACAAAGAGUGGAGAAGCAAUUUGUACCUUCGUUUACCAUGAGAUAUUGAUUGGAUACCUUGAUUUUUGUAACAAAAGGGGUUUCUCAACUUGCUACAUACGGGCCUGUGCUCCUUCAAAGAAAGGGGAUGAUUAUAUACUAUAUUGCCAUCCCGAAGAGCAAAAGACUCCGAAGAAUGAUAAGCUGCGCCGCUGGGAACUCCAAGGUGACAGCUUUUUGUUUGCCACACUUUGAAGGAGACUGCUGGUGUGGUAAUGCUAUGGAAGUAGCCAAGACCUUCGAAAAAGAGAGUGUAGGAGACUAUGAGAAGUUGUUGAAACAAGUGUCAAAUAGAACAUUAAAGGACAUGGGACAUGCCAAGCCUUCCAAAGAGACUCUGGUGAUGCAAAGUUGGCCAAAAUAUAUUGCCUACCAUGGAAAACUUCCUCAUACAUGCACUGCCGUGAAGUGAUAGUGUCUGGGAAGCGAUGGUUUUGCACUGAAUGCAAGAAGUUUCAGGAGUGUGAAAGAUGCCAUAGUUAUGAUCAACACACUUCAAAGAAUGGUGAGGUGCACACACUUUGUCAGGCCGUUGUUGAUGAUAUCUCCUCCAACACUAAACAUAAUGAUAUCGUCCUUGAGAGUAGAUUGUUUGGAAAUAGGGACAACUUUUUGAUCUUCUGCCAGAAGUCUCAGUUUCAGUUUGACACACUCCGUCGUGCCAAGUAUUCCUCUAUGAUGAUCCUCUACCAUCUACACAAUCCUAAUGCGAUGACUCAAAAUGAACACCGGUUAACUCAAAACUGUUCAACACAAGCAUGUCAAUAUGAGAAUCAGGAGUCAAAUGAAGAAAUGAUGGUGAAACUGCUGAACGUUUUGAAGCAUGCAUCUCAAUGCCACCGCCGGGCAAGUAAUGCUGAGCCAUGCUCUCAUCCAAACUGAUCUGAAAUCAAGAAGUUGUUCUAUCAUGCCAGUAAGUGCAAAAUUCGAUUAAAUGGGGGCUGCCAGCAUUGUAAAAAGAUAUGGUUUAUACUAACUUCUCACUCCAGGAAUUGCAAAGACUCGGAAUGUAGAAUACCACGCUGCAGGUGAUAUGAAGAACCAUGUAGAACAGAAAUCAGUGCAUUCUGAAUCUUGCUGUAGAGCUGAAGUUUUGGAAAGCGAUGGAGCAAUCGUUGGCCAAUGAAUCUUUGUGAAUAUAUAGAGUGCACAAUAAGUGAUUACCUGCCAAAUUUUAUUAACUUUGAUGAAGCUAUUAAAUUUCGUUAAAGCUAAGUGUCAACAUAAGUGUUGUGCUUUUCAUCUUUCCUUUUGUGUAUGUAAAUUUGAUUAUGUAUAUACAUAGGUUAGGAAUAGCCUUAUUAUUCAUUCUCUUAAAAUAAGAGAUUCAAUUUUGUGUUGUUGUGAAUGUAUAUUCAAUGGUUGAGAGCUAAGCUCAAACUACACAAUUCAAGUUUUCAUUGCUUCUGCUGUUCUACAUCAA